GGUGUGGUGGCUAAGAGGUAAGGCGUUGGUCUCGUAAACCGAAGAUCAUGGGUUCAAACCCCGUCUGUACCU